rnacentral:lncRNA from 10 species
CGCCCCCUCACGUGCCCUGGGCGCAGGGCCUCGUGCUGCCCGCGUGACCUGCAGGCGCGGCGCUGCCACCGCCUCUGCUUCUGCUUGGCUUCCACGCGUGGGAGGGAGCCCGUGGCGACGGGGGCGGCUGGCUUGUGGAGGCUGCGGGAAAGUCUUCCUCGGCGGCCGCGUCCCUGUCCCAGGCCUUGGUACCCUGGCCGUUCUCCGCCCGGGACUUGGGGGUGCUGAGUGGGCAUGCGGGUGUGCAGAGCUCUGUGCUCUCCUGGAUUUGAGAAAAGGAGGUCUCCUAUUCCUACCCUCUGUGCUCUUGCAUUCCACGCAUGGGAGGAGGAGGAGGCAGAGUAAGGGGGUUCUUCCCCAAGGGAUGAGGCGGUUCAAAUUUAAACCUAAGUUUGGGAGGGAGGUGCGGAAGAGCUUUUGAAAUUGAAGGGUGGAGUCCCCACAGCGGUCCGUUCAGCCUCCAUUACUGUGCCUGUGACCUUUGGGUCAGGAGCCCUGUUUUACUGCAACCUGGGCCCAGCUCAGCACCCAGCUAAGGGCAUGAGCAAGAAUCCAGCGUCCUUCAUGGUUCCUUGGUGGGUGCCUUACUGAUUCCCUCAGCCUCCCAUUUCCCCUUCUAGAAAUGGCAGGCAGAGCAUUUGGAAAGCAGCAGUGAGAGAUGGAGACCACCGGACAGGCCAAGCACCAAAUUGGGUGUCCCCAGCAACAGAAUAGGAAACCCAUUAUCUGUGCCUUUGCAAUGUGUCCUUAAGUGACUCAUUUGCCUGCAAGGUGUCAGGUGCUGAGGUAGUCCACAAAGCCUGUUGCUGUCUGCAAACUUGUGUCUCUACUAGUUGUUAUUUCCAAUAGCUGGCAAAAUCGAAACCGCCUUUGCAAAAAUUAUAACAAAAUUAUUACAGUGAAGGGCAUCUGACCUAACUGACUCUAUCUUGCUUGUAACCUCCAAGCUGUCCCUUGUUCAUUCCUGGGCGUAGGCUGAACUAACUUUGGGAGGAACUUACAGUUUCACUUUGAAACAAAGAUGGUAACAGCCCUUUCACAAUACAAACCCCCGUCUUGCCUGGGGAACAGACUGCCUUUGUAGUAUUAACAAAUUAGCCAUAGGAUUAGAGAUUAUGGUUUAGGAGUCAUGUAGCUGGAGGCCACAAGAUUCUAAGCCUCCCCAGUUGCUCCUAGGGAUAGCAUCACUAUUGGAAAACCUGAGAUUGGUGCUGAAGAUAUUUUUCAGACCCUGCAGUUGAUGGAUCAGCUGGCGUCACCCAGAUUGAGAAACUGGCUGGCUGGUCCUGUGGCCCCUACCCAGGAAUCUGCUUAGCGCAAGAGGACCACUUGGAGGCUCUGUGAUUUUGUCUCUGACCAAACCAAUCAGCACUCCCCACUCCCUGGCCCUCUACCCAUCAAAUUAUCCUUUAAAAACACUAGUCUGGAAUUUUCAGAGAGACUGAUUUGAGUAAUAAUAAAACUCUCUUCUCCCGAU